rnacentral:tRNA from 1 species
GGCCCUGUAGUACAACGGAUAGUACACCAGACUUUGAAUCUGUAGACCUGAGUUCAACUCUCAGCAGGGCCU